UACAUGGGGUGCAAACGUUGCUCGGAAUCAUUGGGCGUAAAGCGCGCGUAGGCGGUUACACAAGUUGGAUGUGAAAGCCCUCGGCUUAACUGAGGAAGUGCAUCCAAAACUGUGCAGCUAGAGUACUAAAGAGGGUCGCGGAAUUCCCGGUGUAGAGGUGAAAUUCGUAGAUAUUCGGAAGAACACCAGUGGCGAAGGCGGCUCACUGGCCCGGUACUGACGCUGAGGUGCGAAAGCGUGGGGAGCAAACAGG
rnacentral:rRNA from 1 species